GAGAGAGAGAGAGAGAGAGAGAGAGAGAGAGAGAACAGUGAAGGAAGGAGGGUCUACUUCCUUCUUGAUCCGCCUUUGUAGGAGUUGUUACUGAUGGAGAGAACUGCUGAGGACCAACAUCUAAACAUCGGAACAUCAGAAGCAUGGAAACAGCUUGCCUGAGCACCGUAGGAGCCAGGCAGAAGCUUUCAGGCCCACAACCCUUCCUGAGCGGCUUCUGCCCGUGGCUCCUGCUCAACCCCCACUCCUGUGUGUUCCUUCAGGACCAUCUUGGAAGUCGUGGUGCUUUGUACUCCCUCCUAGCCUCUUCACUGAAAGUGGACCAUGGACAUCCUCUCUCCUUUGAACUUGUGGAGCGCUGCAGUUUACUGUUCACCUUGACAUUCACACGGCAGACAUGAUCUGCAUCAAGUACUUGCUGCUGUCUGCUCAGAGAGGCGGCCCGUUACUUUAGGAAAGAACUCUUAGGAUUUCGUUUGCAUCCUUUCUCCAUCCUAAUGCCCACACUCAUAUUAGUAGUUCUAAUCGUUGUUAAUUGAAUAAAACACCCAAGUAUUGACAUAAUAGGUAAAGAACAUUGUAAUCCAUCUACUUAGGGCUCAAAAUUACUAUGUAGUUUCGCCUUCCAUUCAACUUGAAUGAAAUGUCUUUUCAUAAAAUAAAAGCCAUCCAUGGUUCUAAAGAACUUAAUAAUCCA